rnacentral:lncRNA from 1 species
CAAUAUUUUUAUAUACAAUGAAAUAAAGAAUUUAAAUAAAAGAUUUAAUGAAACAAAGCAUGGCAAAAAAGAAUUCAACCACACCUUCAUUAAUAUGAGAAAUGAAGAUUGAUUAUGAAAAAUACAGUCCAGUAUAAACAAUUCUAUUAAGGACCAAGAUAAUAUGAUACCAAUGAGAGUUUCUGAUAUCCACCUUGGUCUCUCUAGAGAAAUGGAUAGCUAGCAAGUCUCUGAUGGUAGGCAGUUUGAGGUUGUAUUCUCUGCUGGGGUGUUCUAUGUGUUAUAUUGACAGUAUGAGGACUCAGUGCUUUGGGUGCCCACCUAAUACCCACAGUCCCUUUAGUAACAAGUAGCUCCUUGUAUAAACAUUUCCUGCUUUGUCAUAUGACCUUGCUGCUGAUACCACAGCCAGAGCGGGGACUGGGAUCCAUGAGUGAGUCAAAGUCCAUCUUCUAGGUGAAUAUUUCUUUCUUCUAGUUGCUCCAACUAGAUAAGUACUAAUUACUCAAAUUGCAUCUUUGCUCCUAGUGUAGUUGACCCGAAAAUAUAUAAAAAGAAGAGGAGGCCACAAAUGUGGCCUGAAGGGAGGAGAAUUUGAAAGAAGACAAGGAGAAGCCAUGGGGAAAAAAGAAAGAGAGCAAAACCGAGAAAGUAGUAAAGGGCUGAAUCAGCCUGCUGCAGACAGGCAGGUCUGUGCACACCCUACCAAGGUCCCCAGUGGUGUGGAAGAUGCCGAAUCACCCCGCUGCAGAGAGGCAGCCACCUGGUUCCACACUACAAAGACGCAGAGGAUACCAGACCACCAGACCAAGGUACUGAGUCCCGCUGUUCCUGGCCCAGAGGUAGGGGCUUCUGAGCCACCGUCCCACUGCUCCUGGCCCAGAGAAAGGGGCUUCCAGGUCACCAUCCCUCCCCCCGUCCCAGUCGAAAUGAGAAAACACAUAAAUAAGUCUCAAAACCAGACUUCCAGAUCACCUACAGCAACCCCAAAGGGAAAUGAGAUGGAACACUCUGAUACUCAACCACCUGGACCCACUGAACUGGCAACAAAAGGGGAUCUGGAAAAAAUGAAAUCAGAAAUAAUUUCUCAGAUAACAGGAGAAAUUGUGCCCCUAGUGCAAGACAUGAUUAAUAAAUCUAGAGAGGAGCUCAGGAACAUGAUGGAAUCCCAACAUAGGAAACAAAUGGAAUCCAUAAA